GUUAGUUUAGGCUAGGUUAGGGCUUGGCAUGGCUUGGUGUGGCUCCGUUAGGGUGUAGUGUGGUGUGGCUAGGUUAGGUCUUGGCAUGGUGUGGUGUGGCUCAGUUAUGCUAGGUUAGGGCUUGGUGUGGCACAGUUAGGUUAGGGCUUGGCAAGGUUUGGUGUGGCUUGGUUAUGCUAGGUUAGGGCUUGGCAUGGCAUGGUGUGGCUCAGUUAGGUUAAGUUAGGGCUUGGCAUGGUUUGGUGUGGGUUGGUUAUGCUAGGUUAGGGCUUGGCAUGGCAUGGUGUGGCUCAGUUAGGUUAGGUUAGAGCUUGGCAUGGUUUGGUGUGGCUUGGUUAUGCUAGGUUAGGGCUUGGCAUGGCAUGGUGUGGCUCAGUUAGGUUAGGUUAGGGCUUGGCAUGGCUUGGUGUGGCUCAGGUAGGCUGGUUAGGGCUUGGUGUGGCUUGGUUAUGCUAGGUUAGGGCUUGGCAUGGUUUGGUGUGGCUUGGUUAGGGCUUGGCAUGGCUUGGUUAGGUUAGGUUAGAGCUUGGCAUGGCUUGGUGUGGCUUGGUUAGGUCAGGUUAGGGCUUGGCAUGGCUUGGUUAGAUUAGGUUAGAGCUUGGCAUGGUUUGGUGUGGCUUGGUUAGGUCAGGUUAAGGCUUGGCAUGGCUUGGUGUGGCUCAGGUAGGCUGGUUAGGGCUUGGCAUGGUGUAGUGUGGAUUGGUUAGGUUAGAGCUUGGCAUGGUUUGGUGUGGCUUGGUUAUGCUAGGUUAGGGCUUGGCAUGGCAUGGUGUGGCUCAGUUAGGUUUGGUUAGGGUUUGGCAUGGCUUGGUGUGGCUCAAGUAGGCUGGUUAGGGCUUGGCGUGGCUUGGUUAUGCUAGGUUAGGGCUUGGCAUGGUUUGGUGUGGCUUGGUUAGGGCUUGGCAUGGCUUGGCAUGGCUUGGUUAGGUCAGGUUAGGGCUUGGCAUGGCUUGGUUAGAUUAGGUUAGAGCUUGGCAUGGUUUGGUGUGGCUUGGUUAGGUCAGGUUAGGGCUUGGCAUGGCUUGGUGUGGCUCAGGUAGGCUGGUUAGGGCUUGGCAUGGUGUGGUGUGGAUUGGUUAGGUUAGAGCUUGGCAUGGUUUGGUGUGGCUUGGUUAUGCAAGGUUAGGGCGUGGCAUAACUUGGUGUGGCUCAGUUAGGUUGGGUAAGAGUUUGGUGUGGCUUAAGUUAGGCUAGGUUAGGGCUUGGCAUGGCUUGGUUAGGUUAGGGUGUAGUGUGGUGGGGUGUGGCUAGGUUAGGGCAUGGCUUGGUUAUGUUAGGUUAGAGCUAUGCAUGGUUUGGUGUGGCUUGGUUAGGUUAGGUUAGGACUUGGUAUGGUGUGGUGUUGCUUGGUUAGGCUAGGUUAGAGCUUGGCAUGGUUUGGUGUGGCUCAGUUAGUCUAGGUUAGGGCUUGGCAUGGCUUGGUGUGGCUUAAGUUAGGCUAGGUUAGGGCUUGGUGUGGCUUGGUUAGGUUAAGGUGUAGUGUGGUGGGGUGUGGCUAGGUUAGGGCAUGGCUUGGUUAGGUUAGGUUAGAGCUAUGCAUGGUUUGGUGUGGCUUGGUUAGGUUAGGGUGUAGUGUGGUGGGGUGUGGCUGGGUUAGAGUUAUGCAUGGUUUGGUGUGGCUUGGUUAGGUUAAGUUAGAGUUUGGCAUGGUUUGGUGUGGCUUGGUUAGGCUAAGUUAGGGUGUAGUAUGAUAUAGCUAGGUUAAGAUGUGGCAUGGUGUGGCCAGCUAGGGUUAUAGUGUGGCUAGGUUAAGUUAGGCUUGGGUGUGGCAUGGGAUAGCUAGGAUAGAUUAGGGUGUGGUGUGGCCAGGCUAAGUUGGUGUGGUGUGGCUAGGUGUGUUUGGUGUGACGUGGUUGCGUUGGGUUAGGAUCAGUUGUGAUGUGGUUAAGUUUGGGUUGGGUGAGGUAUGGUUGUGCAGUAGAGUGGCUUGGUUAGCUUUGGUGUGGUUGAAUUUUGAGAUGUGGCAAGGUUAGCUGGGCUUGUGAUGUGGUCUGGCAGUGAUGUGACUCGGUUAACUUGGGUGUGGUGGGGUGUGGUUAGGAAGAAUGAGAUAGAGAAUGAGGAUGAUGAGAUAGUUGUUGUAGUAGUAGCAGUAGUAGCAGAACAGCAAAAAUGUAAGCGUAUAUAUAUUGCAUUUACUUAUCUAUCUACAUUUUCCUAGCCUUAGAUUGUAAAAAGAAAACAUAUAUUGAAUUGUAUUGCAUUAUAUUUUAUUAUAUUUAUUCAGUUCUUGCAUGAAAAGAGGUCAAAGGUCA